UAAAUGUACUAGGUAAAUACACAUGUCGGGAAUUCACCUGUGAACAUUUGAUAAAUUGAAUGGGAACAGAUCAGUGGGGAUCAAGGAAGGAUCCAUGACUUUUUGGCGAGAUGUGUCAAAAGGUGGAAUGUAGGAAAUGUGGAAAACCAACAUGGGCAGGCUGUGGUAGUCAUAUAGAACUGGUUUUACGUGGCAUUGCAGAUGAAGAUAGGUGUAAAUGCUCGAAGAAAAAGUCCAAAUGCGUCAUAUUAUAGUCAGAAUAUUCGUCCAUUAUUUACAUCAUCAACAGUGAUUUUCUAGAUAUAGUGCAGCUAUUUCAAAGAUGUGAUAAUGUCUGUUUCCAUGGUAACAGUUCUCAAGAAUUAUCAACUCAUCAAUGAGGAGAGACAAUACAUUCACCAGUUGAAGGGAUGCAUGUUGGUCAGAAAAGAUAGCAGAAAAUAUUAAUUAUCUUCACAGUAACCAUCCAUCAUUCCAGAGCUCUACAACCUCUCUUUUUGUCUGCAUGUGGCAGCAGUUCUCCCAAGGUUACAAAGCUGAACUUGGAGAACAGUCUCAGUUCUGCAGCAUCUGAUUGGUUCCUUCUGAGCACAGUUUCAGGUCUGCAGCAUCUGAUUGGUUCUUUCUGAGCACAGUUUCAGAUCUGCAGCAUCUGAUUGGUUUUUUCUGAGCACAGUUUCAGAUCUGCAGCAUCUGAUUGGUUCUUUCUGAGCACAGUCUCAGUUCUGCAGCAUCUGAUUGGUUCUUUCUGAGCACAGUUUCAGAUCUGCAGCAUCUGAUUGGUUCUUUCUGAGCACAGUUUCAGAUCUGCAGCAUCUGAUUGGUUCUUUCUGAGCACAGUUUCAGAUCUGCAGCAUCUGAUUGGUUCUUUCUGAGCACAGUUUCAGAUCUGCAGCAUCUGAUUGGUUCUUUCUGAGCACAGUUUCAGAUUUAAGCAGUGGUUGAGAUUGGUCACUUUAUUUUAAAUUAGUUUUAUAACCUUGGGAGUCGGUUGAAAAUGGUGGUGUCAUGAGAUUCACCACUGAUACUCGUGCUAUAUUUUGUACACACUUUUUGUUGUAUUUGGGACUUGUGACCAUUGUAGAAUAUAUUAAGUUGUUCAUGUUAUACCUGCUCACAGGGGGAUCGAGACUCUGUGUGUAAUGCUUGUACAUGUAUACAGUAAUUAUGUCUCUCACCACAAUUGGUGUGGGAGACAUAUUGAUUUACUCCUGUCUGUGUGUCUUUGUGUCUGUCACAAAACUUGUCCGCACUGUUAAGUCGAACAUUUCUCAUCCGAUCUUCACCAAACUUAAACAAAACGUGUUUGACCGCAAGUCCUCUGCCAUGUUAAAUAACUAGCCAAAUUAGCCCAGGCACUUCGGAAUUAUGGCCCUAAUGAAUUAUCGAAAAUCGGCCUAUGUGCUCUUGUCCGCGCUCUAAGUCGAACAUUUCUCAUCCGAUUUCACCAAACUUAAACAAAAUGUGUUUGACCAUAAGUCCUCGGCCAAGUUUGAUAACUAGCCAAAUCGGCGCCAGGCACUUCGGAAUUAUGGCCCUUGAAUUACUGAAAAUCAGCCUUUUUACUCUUUUCCGCAUUUCUCAUCCAAUCUUCACCAAACUUGAACAAAAAUUGUUUGACCAUAAGUCCUCGGCCAAGUUCGAUAACUAGCCAAAUCGGCCCAGGCACUUAGGAAUUAUGGCCCUUGAAUUACCGAAAAUCGGCUUUUUUACUCUUGUCUGUGCUCUAAGUCCAACAGUUCUCAUUUGAUCUUCACCAAACUUGAACCAAAUGUUUUUGACCACAACUCCUUGGCCAGGUUCUUUAACCAGCCAAAUCGCCCGAGGCACUUCAGAAUUAUGGCUCUUGAAUUACCCAAAAUCAGCCUUUUUACUCUUCAAAGGUAUAUUUGUAGUGAGUUCAGAAAAUAAAGACUUGACUUACUAUUUAGAUGAUUAGGCAGUUGUGGGAGACAUCCGCUUUUUGAAAAGCAGCUCUAGUUAGCAUUAAAUUUUUUUGCUAAAAAUUAGUUGAUAGAUUAAUACUCAACACAUGUUCAUGUUUCACAUUGCAAAGUGAUGAUAAACAAGUGUUUUGUAAAUGUUUACAUCAAAAUUCAUAGAAAGUUUCAGUGUUCUAAAUUUGGACAUCUUUGAUGUUCAGUGAAAGAUACAGAUGAAACCCGGUAUCCAAAUUUGCUUACCUAGAAAUGUCUUGAAAUAAUUACCAAAUCUGCUCAAAAGUUCUUCUCAAUCUUAUAUUUUCACUGUUUAUGUAAAAUUCAACAUUGUGACUUCAGUUUAAAUCCGUCGAGUUUUGAAGUCCCAUUUUCAAAGCCUUAUACAUAUACAUCUUGGUGUGUUGAAAUAUAAAAUGUGAAGCCUACCGGUAUAUGAAAGUAUGACAAAUAUAAAUACAAAUAAUCCUACAUGUACAAGUGAAAGUAUUGAAUCUCAAUCUCUCUAAUAUUAGAGAUAAUAUUGUAGAAAUGGAGGAAUGGAGGGUACUGUUGUCAAAAAUCCUUUUGUUACAUGGGAAAUAAUAGAUAAUUGGAAGAAAUAUUUAGGUUAUCACGGUGAAAAUGGUUUACUUCUGUUAUUUGCUGAUUACUGGGUAUUUUAACGAAGUUCUGUUUGGUGGGCAAUAUUAUUUUCUUUCAUGAAAAUGGAUAGAUUUAGGGCAGGUUGGUAGUCACCUGCCUCUUAGUAUAAAAACUUAUGUCACUUAAAUGAGCAUAACUCAAUAUUUCUAAAUUAUUUCAAUAUCUAUUCAGUUACCUAAUGAAAAUAUUGCCAUUCUAUAUACUAAACAAUGGCGACUACAACAUGUAAUAAAACCUUGAUAGAUUUUAGAGGGUAAAAGAUUCUUUUCCAUUACCUUAUUACUAUUACAUGUAUCAUGCUCUUUCUAAUGUACUGCUAGAAGUUAUUUAUAAAGAAAUUCAGGUAUUUCAAAGAGCAUAUCAAGACAUUUUAGACAUAUCAAGACAUUUCAGACAUAUCAAGAUAUUUCAGACAUGUAAAGCAAGACAUUUCAGACACAUCAAGAUAUUCAGACAUGUAAAGCAAGACAUUUCAGGAUAUUCAGACAUAUCAAGACAUUUCAGACUUGUCAAGGUAUUUCAGACAUCUAAAGCAAGACAUUUCAGACACAUCAAGAUAUUCAGACAUAUCAAGGUAUUUCAGACAUGUAAAGCAAGAAAUUUCAGACACAUCAAGAUAUUCAGACAUAUCAAGACAUUUCAGACUUAUCAAGAUAUUUCAGACAUGUAAAGCAAGACAUUUCAGACAUAGCAAGACAUUUCAGACAAAUCAAGAUAUUUUAGACAUGUAAACAAGACAUUUCAGAUGUAUCAAGAUAUUUCAGACAUGUCAAAAUAUUCAGACAUAUCAAGAUAUUUCAGACAUGUCAAGAAAUAUAAUAAGGUUUAUACACUUUUUUGUCAUUGACCUUUCAUUACAGCAUUAUAAACUGUCAUCAACAUUCUAUUGUUUUAUUUUUGUGGUUUUAUUGUGAUUCAGAAUCUCAAGUGUAUGUAUUGUAUGUUAAACAUCAAAGGUUGUGUGUUCUAUUUUGUAGUCAAACUUGUUAAUACUUAUAGUGCUUCAGAAGUACUGUUGUAAUACUGAUCAUAUAUAAACUGUUCAUGCUACAGUUAGUGGUAAAUAAAUUGAAUAUUAAGAAUA